GUAUAAUAGAAUAUUAUGCAGCAAUUUAAAAUAAUGGCACAGAUCUGUAUUUACUGACAUGGAAAGAUGACCUGAACAUAUUACUGGGUGAAGACAGGUUACAAGCACAAAGGAAUGACAGAACUGGAGCGUGUUCCCGGCUACCCAUUGUGCCAGCCAUCUUUUGCUUCAGUAUAUGGGCUGAGAAACUUUUGCACAAUGAAGCUACAGUGUUUUCCAGUUUGAACAUCAAUCAACAUGCUUAAAAUACCUUAUACCAUCACCAAACAAAGAUGCCUCUGUUCUUGACUGCUGGUUCAGAAAUCCCCUCAGAACUGCUGGGAAUGGAGAAAAACAUGUCCUGUGUCACGCAAACCCCAGAGAUCUCACUAGAGCUGCCUGCCAGAAGUCAUC
rnacentral:lncRNA from 1 species